rnacentral:rRNA from 1 species
AACAGGAUUAGAUACCCUGGUAGUCCACGCCGUAAACGGUGGGUGCUAGGUGUGAGCGGUAUUCCACGCCGUUCGUGCCGCAGCUAACGCAUUAAGCACCCCGCCUGGGGAGUACGGCCGCAAGGCUAAAACUCAAAGGAAUUGACGGGGGCCCGCACAAGCAGCGGAGCAUGUGGCUUAAUUCGACGCAACGCGAAGAACCUUACCAAGGCUUGACAUGCAGGGAAAUCCUCCAGAGAUGGGGGGUCCGCAAGGGUCCUGCACAGGUGGUGCAUGGUUGUCGUCAGCUCGUGUCGUGAGAUGUUGGGUUAAGUCCCGCAACGAGCGCAACCCUCGUUCUAUGUUGCCAGCGCGUGAUGGCGGGGACUCAUAGGAGACUGCCGGGGUCAACUCGGAGGAAGGUGGGGAUGACGUCAAAUCAUCAUGCCCCUUAUGUCUUGGGCUGCACACAUGCUACAAUGGCCGGUACAAAGGGCUGCUAAGCCGCGAGGUGGAGCGAAUCCCAAAAAGCCGGUCUCAGUUCGGAUUGGGGUCUGCAACUCGACCCCAUGAAGUCGGAGUUGCUAGUAAUCGCAGAUCAGCAACGCUGCGGUGAAUACGUUCCCGGGCCUUGUACACACCGCCCGUCACGUCACGAAAGUCGGUAACACCCGAAGCCAGUGGCCCAACUCGCAAGAGAGGGAGCUGUCGAAGGUGGGAUCGGCGAUUGGGACGAAGUCGUAACAAGGUAACC